rnacentral:rRNA from 1 species
AAUCUGGGGUCCCCGACCUCCGAGUUGUAAUUUGGAGAGGCAUCUUCGGGGGGGAGCGCCGGCCCAUGUUCCUUGGGACAGGACGUCACAGAGGGUGAGAAUCCCGUGCCUGGCCGGCUGCCUCCUCCCGGGUGGAGGGCCUUCGACGAGUCGAGUUGUUUGGGAAUGCAGCUCCAAGUGGGUGGUAAAUUUCAUCUAAAGCUAAAUACCGGCGGGAGACCGAUAGCGCACAAGUAGAGUGAUCGAAAGAUGAAAAGCACUUUGAAAAUAGAGUCAAAAAGUACGUGAAAUUGUUGAAAGGGAAGCGCUUGAGACCAGACUCGGGCCUGGGCAAACAUCGCGCCCCUCGGGGCCGUGCAAUUGCCCGGGCCCGGGCCAGCAUCAGUUGGCGUGGCGGGACAAAGGCGCGGGGAAUGUGGCUCCCCUCGGGGAGUGUUAUUAGGCCCGCGCUCAAUGCCGCCGACGCCGACUGAGGACCGCGCCUCGGCUAGGAUGCUGGCUUAAUGGCCUUCAGCGACCCGUCUUGAAACACGGACCAAGGAGUCUAACAUCUAUGCGAGUGUUUGGGCGACAAACCCUUGCGCGGAAUGAAAGUGAGCGGAGGUGGGAACCCCCUCGCGGGGCGCACCAUCGACCGAUCCUGAUGUCUUCGGAUGGAUUCGAGUA